rnacentral:lncRNA from 1 species
UUCUUAAUCUGCCUACAGAAUUAAAACUUUGUGAUGAGUUUCUUGAAGUCAGAAUCACAUGCUGGCCUUUAUAUAUGUAUAUGAAGAAGAUGCUACAUGGUUAUCUGUCCUUGCUAGAGUAUAUAAUUUGAAACGUUAUUAAGAACCAACUAUGUGCAAGACACCAUGGUAAAUCCUAGGGAAGAAUACAAAGAUGAGCACCAUAUAGUUCUCCCCAGUAUAUCGUCACCGUUAUCCACAAGAGCUGCUGUUUUUUGAAUAUCUUUCAUAUACCAGACGCUAUAUGAGGUGUUAAUCUAAGUGAGAACUGGCACAUAGAGUAAAGCUAAACAAGUGUUUAACCCGAAAAAGUACUUAAUGCUAAGUGUAAAUGCUCAUACCCAAGUUCUGAGAAACAAGGAGCAUAUUGAUUCAGAGAAGAGCUGCCUAACCACCUAAUACUGCAAAAAAAUCUUCCACCAUUCCUUUCUUUCAGAGGUCUGAGAUAUGUGGAUCUGGGCUGGGUGUAAGCAUAAUUCAAGAAAAUGAUUUGAGGAAAAGAAAUCCGUUUCAUUACUGCAUCCCCUUUACAAUUCAGAUGACUGACUUUAUAGCUCCAGCAAAGCCUUUGCCUCAACAGUCUAAGUAAGAGUUGCCUCUGCGAGGGAGAGGAGUUCCUAACACCUGCUCAGCCCACACAGCACCACCAUGACCAGCUCCACCUGACUGCUGUGAAAGGCCCCUUUGAGCAGCUCCAAGAUCAGGUGCAGGAAGACCCUUGAUAAUACAAAUGUGCACCAGAGACCCUCUAGGUCAGAUGCUGGCAUUCUAGAAGGAAGCGUCCUCAAAUUCCUGCUCUGGCUCUCAUGCUGAAGUCUCUGGGAACGCCUUUAUGGGACCUUAGGUACGUUGGCACUGCCUUCUAAACUUAUGUUGUUUCAGUCUGCAUCUCAUGCAUUCCCUAACCCCCAGAAACUAUGAUAUUGUGUUUU